UACGUAGGGUGCAAGCGUUGUCCGGAAUUAUUGGGCGUAAAGAGCUCGUAGGCGGUCUGUCGCGUCUGCUGUGAAAGUCCAGGGCUCAACCCUGGAAUGCCGGUGGAAACUGUCAGGCUCGAGUCCGGAAGAGGCGAGUGGAAUUCCUGGUGUAGCGGUGAAAUGCGUAGAUAUCAGGAGGAAUACCGGUGGUGUAGACGGCUCUCUGGACCGCCACUGACGCUGAGACACGAAAGCGUGGGUAGCAAACAGG
rnacentral:rRNA from 1 species